rnacentral:rRNA from 1 species
AUUUUGACCGCGCGAAGGUAGCGCAAUCACUUGUCUCUUAAAUGGAGACUUGUAUGAAUGGCACGACGAGGGCUUAGCUGUCUCCUCCCCUAAGUUAAUGAAAUUGAUCUUUCCGUGCAGAAGCGGGAAUAAACACAUAAGACGAGAAGACCCUAUGAAGCUUAAGACGUAAGGUAGACCAGACUACAAAGACCCCCUAAUAAGGGAGCAAACCAAAAGGACCCCUACCCCGAUGUCUUUGGUUGGGGCGACCGCGGGGAAAGAAAAAACCCCCACGUGGAACGGAGUACAACUCCUUAAACUCAGAGCCACAGCUCUAAGAAACAAAAUUUUUGACCUAAGGAUCCGGCAAUGCCGAUCAACGGACCGAGUUACUCUAGGGAUAACAGCGCAAUCCCCUUUUAGAGACCAUAUCAACAAGGGGGUUUACGACCUCGAUGUUGGAUCAGGACAUCCUAUUGGUGCAGCAG